GACGGAGGGUGCUAGCGUUGUUCGGAAUCACUGGGCGUAAAGGGCGCGUAGGCGGCCUGUUAAGUCGGAUGUGAAAGCCCGGGGCUCAACCCCGGAACUGCAUCCGAGACUGGCAGGCUUGAGACCGGGAGAGGAGGGUGGAAUAUCCAGUGUAGAGGUGAAAUUCGUAGAUAUUGGAUGGAACACCGGUGGCGAAAGCGGCUCUCUGGCCCGGAUCUGACGCUGAGGCGCGAAAGCGUGGGGAGCAAACAGG
rnacentral:rRNA from 1 species